AUACGUAGGAAGCGAGCGUUAUCCGGAAUUACUGGGCGUAAAGCGCGCGUAGGUGGUCUUUCAAGUCGAAUGUGAAAUUUCCCGGCUUAACCGGGAAGGGUCGUUCGAUACUGUUGGACUAGAGAGCGGCAGGGGGAAGCGGAAUUCCCGGUGUAGUAGUGAAAUGCGUAGAUAUCGGGAGGAACACCAGUGGCGAAGGCGGCUUCCUGGGCUGUUUCUGACACUGAGGCGCGAAAGUGUGGGGAGCGAACAGAAUUAGAUACUCUGGUAGUCCACACUGUAAACGAUGGGUACUAGGUAUAGGGAGUAUCGACCCUCUUUGUGCCGAAGCUAACGCUUUAAGUACCCCGCCUGGGGACUACGGCCGCAAGGCUAAA
rnacentral:rRNA from 1 species